rnacentral:rRNA from 1 species
GUGGGGAAUAUUGGGCAAUGGGCGAAAGCCUGACCCAGCAACGCCGCGUGAAGGAAGAAGGUUUUCGGAUCGUAAACUUCUAUCCUUGGUGAAGAUAAUGACGGUAGCCAAGAAGGAAGCCCCGGCUAACUACGUGCCAGCAGCCGCGGUAAUACGUAGGGGGCAAGCGUUGUCCGGAAUGAUUGGGCGUAAAGGGCGCGUAGGCGGCCCGGUAAGUCUGAAGUGAAAGUCCUGCUUUUAAGGUGGGAAUUGCUUUGGAUACUGUCGGGCUUGAGUGCAGGAGAGGUAAGCGGAAAUCCAGGUGUAGCGGUGAAAUGCGUAGAGAUCGGGAGGAACACCAGUGGCGAAGGCGGCUUACUGGACUGUAACUGACGCUGAGGCGCGAAAGUGUGGGGAGCAAACAGGAUUAGAAACCCCAGUAGUCC